GUAGGUGGCAAGCGUUGUCCGGAAUUAUUGGGCGUAAAGCGCGCGCAGGCGGUUCUUUAAGUCUGAUGUGAAAGCCCACGGCUCAACCGUGGAGGGUCAUUGGAAACUGGAGAACUUGAGUACAGAAGAGGAAAGCGGAAUUCCACGUGUAGCGGUGAAAUGCGUAGAGAUGUGGAGGAACACCAGUGGCGAAGGCGGCUUUCUGGUCUGUAACUGACGCUGAGGCGCGAAAGCGUGGGGAGCAAACAGGAUUAGAUACCCUGGUAGUCCACGCCGUAAACGAUGAGUGCUAAGUGUUAGGGGGGUUUCCGCCCCCCUUAGUGCUGCAGCUAACGCAUUAAGCACUCCGCCUGGGAGUACGGCCGCGAGGCUG
rnacentral:rRNA from 1 species